GAAAUGCGAUAAGCAAUGCGAAUUGCAGAACCGCGAGUCAUCAGAUUUUUGAACGCAAGUGGCGGCAUCUUAGGAUGUCAUGUUUGUUUCAGUGUGUCCGGUUAAUUACAUCAAAGAAUAUAAUGUGAUUGAAGAGAUUCUCUCACAAAAUAUGGAAUAAUGUCAAUGAAGACUCCAAACGAACUAGUCACUAAAUGGUGAUAAUCGUUUGUGGAUUGGAAUUGGUGAAUCAUUGUUCAAUAAGAAAUUAUCCAAUUAUGACACCUGAAAUAAGCAAGAGUACCCGCUGAACUUAA
rnacentral:misc_RNA from 1 species